rnacentral:rRNA from 1 species
UACAGAGGGUGCAAGCGUUGUUCGGAAUUAUUGGGCGUAAAGCGCGUGUAGGCGGCCAGGCAAGUUGGGUGUGAAAGCCCUCGGCUUAACCGAGGAAGUGCGCCCAAAACUACUUGGCUUGAGUACCGGAGAGGAUGGCGGAAUUCCCGGUGUAGAGGUGAAAUUCGUAGAUAUCGGGAGGAACACCAGCGGCGAAGGCGGCCAUCUGGACGGAUACUGACGCUGAGACGCGAAAGCGCGGGGAGCAAACAGG